rnacentral:rRNA from 1 species
ACCCGCUGAACUUAAGCAUAUCAAUAAGCGGAGGAAAAGAAACUAACAAGGAUUCCCCUAGUAACGGCGAGUGAAGCGGGAAGAGCUCAAAUUUAAAAUCUGGCAGUGUAUUCUGUCCGAGUUGUAGUCUAGAGAAGCAUCAUCCGUGCUGGACCAUGUACAAGUCUCUUGGAACAGAGCGUCAUAGAGGGUGAGAAUCCCGUCCUUGACAUGGACUCCCAGUGCUUUGUGUUGUGCUCUCAACGAGUCGAGUUGUUUGGGAAUGCAGCUCAAAAUGGGUGGUAAAUUCCAUCUAAAGCUAAAUAUUGGCGAGAGACCGAUAGCGAACAAGUACCGUGAGGGAAAGAUGAAAAGCACUUUGGAGAGAGAGUUAAACAGUACGUGAAAUUGUUGAAAUGGAAACGAUUGAAGUCAGUCGCGUUCUCUGGGAUUCAGCCUUGCUUCUGCUUGGUGCAUUUCCUAGUCUACGGGCCAGCAUGGAUUUUGACCGUUGGAGAAGGGCUGGAAGAAUGUGGCACCUUCGGGUGUGUUAUAGCCUCUUGUCGCAUGCAUCGGUUGGGAUCGAGGACCUCAGUGCACGCUUCGGUUGUGCUUUGAUGCUGGCGUAAUGGCUUUAAACGACCCGUCUUGAAACACGG